rnacentral:misc_RNA from 1 species
GUCGAUACAAAACUUUUCUCGUGAACCCGACGCAUCUUUCUUUCUUCAUUUUAUUGUCUACUUUAUUUUUCUUUGGAGUACCUACGUUUCAAAUUAUAAUGAAUCGUUCCACUUUUUCUAGAUACGUGGCUUAAAUAAGCCAUUCUUGCACAUAACACAUGUCUAAAUACAUAAUAAAAACUACAUAGCUAAAGAACCCAGUACAACUAAGAACGGCAGGAGUAUAUAAGCAUGCAUUUUAUAUAUAAUUAUAUGCUGUGAUACAUUCGUGUUUAGGAGGAGAAUUGCCAAAUUUUCCAAUGCUUGUUGAAAUAUGUUUUGCGUUCGUAAAAAAUGCUGCCCAUAUAACCUUAAGACUGCCAUUAUAGUCGUCAGAAAUACACUAAGAAUGUCGUCGUCAUCAUCAUCAUCAUCAUCAUCAUCAUCAUCAUCAUCAUCAUCAUCAUCAUCAUCAUCAUCAUCAUCAUCAUCAGUAACGAAACCAGGGUAUCGCUUGGCCAUCUCUUCAACGAUAGCAACAGGGCUUGCCUAUCUCUCCAAAGACAGCGGUAUCCUCACCCAUCAUGCAUCCCCGUCUUCAGCUCAACACCAACAGUAUCUCUAUCGCUAUAUGUACAUACCCUCUCUGAAAAUGUUGAUUUCGCUGGGCUUGCCAUCAACCAUCCACAGCCAUCAUUCAUUCGCAGCUCGUUUGUGCCUUGAUCAAUUUGCUGAAAUUCUGUGUCCCCCUCAC